rnacentral:rRNA from 1 species
CCUACGGGCGGCAGCAGUGGGGAAUAUUGGGCAAUGGGCGCAAGCCUGACCCAGCAAUGCCGCGUGAAGGAAGAAGGCUUUCGGGUUGUAAACUUCUUUGACAGGGGAAGAGCAGAAGACGGUACCCUGAAAACAAGCCACGGCUAACUACGUGCCAGCAGCCGCGGUAAUACGUAGGUGGCAAGCGUUGUCCGGAUUUACUGGGUGUAAAGGGCGUGUAGCCGGGAAGGCAAGUCAGAUGUUAAAUCUGGAGGCUCAACCUCCAAAUUGCAUUUGAAACUGUUUUUCUUGAGUACUGGAGAGGCAGAUGGAAUUCCUUGUGUAGCGGUGAAAUGCGUAGAUAUAAGGAGGAACACCAGUGGCGAAGGCGGUCUGCUGGACAGCAACUGACGGUGAGGCGCGAAAGCGUGGGGAGCAAACAGGAUUAGAUACCCUAGUAGUC